CAACAAGCAAGCCAGCAGCAGGCAGCAGGAGCCCCUCCGUCCGUCCCAUCCGGCCAUCCGCGCAGUGCCCCCACACCACAGGCAUCUUGCCCCGCUACCAAGAAAGUACAACAGCUCACCUAUCUACCUAUCCAUCUCCAUCCACCCAUCCUUGUUUGUUCCUCAUGCAUUCUUACUGUCCGCCUGCCUGCCUGAUCAGGACAGGAGCCAGCAUGCCGCCAUCACCGUCGUUGCUGGACCUCAUGAGCCUGCCGCCCGACCUGUCUCCGUCUGCCGAGGAAGCGGCGGACUCGUCGUCCUCGGAAGGCAGCAGCUGUGGCUUGGUGCAGGUGGUGCCGAGGGACCUCUCCGACGAGCUCCUCGGCAAGUUCGAGGACACCAGCGAGUUCGGCUUCGAGUACAGCCAGAGCGGCCUCUGGUCGCCGCUGGUCCUGCGGCCCGAGGUCCUCGCGACCGCGGUGCGGGACCGACGCAGGCGCAGCCGCCGGAGUUGGAGGAGGAAGGUUCGUAUGGUGUUCUGUUGCUGCUGACAUCCGGUUUAUGUUGGGACAAGCUCUUGUCUCUACUAAAAACUCCUCCGCAGCUUCUCAUGUAAAAACUGUUUCGUACUUAAUUUCGUGAUGAAGUUAGUUUGUACUUUGGUUAUAAUGAAGAUUACUUUUUACUGGGAUGUAAACUAGAAUGCCUGCGGGUUUGUAAGUGCUGGUGUCCACUGAUUUUGGGUUCUCGAAUAUUUGUCGUCCGCUAGUUUAUUUUGAACUAAACCGCGAAAAAUAAAAAAGAAGGGAGAGAGUCCUGAUUA
rnacentral:misc_RNA from 1 species